GAUGAACGCUGGCGGCGUGCCUAACACAUGCAAGUCGAACGAAGUUACUAAAAUGAAAUUUUCGGAUGGAAUUUUGGUAUACUUAGUGGCGGACGGGCGAGUAACGCGUGAGCAACCUGCCUUUCAGAGGGGGACAACAGUUGGAAACGACUGCUAAUACCGCAUAACAUAUGAUCUCGGCAUCGAGGACAUAUCAAAGGAGCAAUCCGCUGAAAGAUGGGCUCGCGUUGGAUUAGAUAGUUGGUGGGGUAACGGCCUACCAAGUCGACGAUCCAUAGCCGGACUGAGAGGUUGAACGGCCACAUUGGGACUGAGACACGGCCCAG
rnacentral:rRNA from 1 species